UACGUAGGUGGCAAGCGUUGUCCGGAAUUACUGGGCGUAAAGCGCGCGCAGGCGGUUUCUUAAGUCUGAUGUGAAAGCCCACGGCUCAACCGUGGAGGGUCAUUGGAAACUGGGGAACUUGAGUGCAGAAGAGGAGAGUGGAAUUCCACGUGUAGCGGUGAAAUGCGUAGAUAUGUGGAGGAACACCAGUGGCGAAGGCGACUCUCUGGUCUGUAACUGACGCUGAGGCGCGAAAGCGUGGGGAGCAAACAGG
rnacentral:rRNA from 1 species